CAAUGUGUGAAUCUGGCGGAGGUAGUGCUUCGUGUCUGAGUUGUGCACUAUGGACGCUUUGUCGGCAGGGCUUGGGGCGGAAGUGCCAAUGAAACAUGGCAUCAGAGAGGGUCAUAGUCCCGUGCUCGCUCAAUCCAAGCCCGUGUGCAGCGAAAAGUGCUCCGCGAGUCGCAUAGUUUGGUAAUGCUAUGCCAAGUGGGAGGUAGAGCCCUUCUAAAGCUAAAUAUGAUGAUGUGACCGAUAGUUCACAAGUACCGCGAGGGAAAGGUGAAAAGUAACCAUGUAGAAUGGGUUGAAAGAGAAGUGAAAGUGCUACCGGGAUAAGGGCAUGUGACAGCUGGUGUCUGUAGGGCGUGCUUCAGUGCUGUCCUUCUAGAACGGUGUGCGGAUGUGUUUGAUGGGGAGACAAGGCUGUCUGGGAACGUGGCUCAGCCUUUGGGGUGAGUGUUAUAGCCCGGCAUGCAAAAGAACCCCACGACACAUGUGAACUGUGCAUCUUGCUGUGGCAUGCCUCCCGU
rnacentral:rRNA from 1 species